GACGAACGCUGGCGGCGUGCCUAAUACAUGCAAGUCGAGCGGAACUGGGGGAGCUUGCUCCUUCCAGUUUAGCGGCGGACGGGUGAGUAACACGUGGGCAACCUGCCCUGCAGAGCGGGAUAACUCCGGGAAACCGGUGCUAAUACCGAAUAGUUUGGCGCCUCUCCUGAGGCGCUACGGAAAGACGGUUUCGGCUGUCACUGCAGGAUGGGCCCGCGGCGCAUUAGCUAGUUGGUGGGGUAACGGCCCACCAAGGCGACGGAGCGUAGCCGACCUGAGAGGGUGACCGGCCACACUGGGACUGAGACACGGCCCAGACUCCUACGGGAGGCAGCAGUAGGGAAUCUUCCGCAAUGGACGCAAGUCUGACGGAGCAACGCCGCGUGAGUGACGAAGGUUUUCGGAUCGUAAAACUCUGUUGUGAGGGAAGAACACGUACCAACUAACUAUUGGUACCUUGACGGUACCUCACCAGAAAGCCACGGCUAACUACGUGCCAGCAGCCGCCGUAA
rnacentral:rRNA from 1 species